ACACCAACCUGAUGACCAACCCUCGACAGAAAAGUUAGUUGGACUGAUCAGUCUCCCCGAGUUGGUCCAAAAAGUGCCUCGGAACACACAGAAGCAACAAGACGGAAUCCGUCUCCAUAACAGCAGGCGGCGUUAAUCUGUAUCGUCAGC